rnacentral:tRNA from 1 species
GGGAUUGUGGCUCAGCGGUAGAGCACUCACCUAACACAUGAGAGGUACUGGGUUCAAUUCUCAGCACCA